rnacentral:tRNA from 1 species
GAGAUAUUAGUAAAGUAAUUACAUAACCUUGUCAAGGUUAAAUCAUAGACUAGAAUCUAUAUAUCUUA